UGUUCCUACGGGACGCAGCAGUAGGGAAUCUUCCACAAUGGGCGAAAGCCUGAUGGAGCAACGCCGCGAGGGUGAAGAAGGUCUUCGGAUCGUAAAACCCUGUUGUUAGAGAAGAAAGUGCGUGAGAGUAACUGUUCACGUUUCGACGGUAUCUAACCAGAAAGCCACGGCUAACUACGGGCCAGCAGCCGCGGUAAUACGUAGGUGGCAAGCGUUAUCCGGAUUUAUUGGGCGUAAAGGGA
rnacentral:rRNA from 1 species